rnacentral:rRNA from 1 species
GACGAACGCUGGCGGCGUGCUUAACACAUGCAAGUCGAACGGAAAGGCCCUUCGGGGUACUCGAGUGGCGAACGGGUGAGUAACACGUGGGUGAUCUGCCCUGCACUUUGGGAUAAGCCUGGGAAACUGGGUCUAAUACCGAAUAGGACCACGCGCUUCAUGGUGUGUGGUGGAAAGCUUUUGCGGUGUGGGAUGGGCCCGCGGCCUAUCAGCUUGUUGGUGGGGUAAUGGCCUACCAAGGCGACGACGGGUAGCCGGCCUGAGAGGGUGACCGGCCACACUGGGACUGAGAUACGGCCCAGACUCAUACGGGAGGCAGCAGUGGGGAAUAUUGCACAAUGGGCGCAAGCCUGAUGCAGCGACGCCGCGUGAGGGAUGACGGCCUUCGGGUUGUAAACCUCUUUCAAUAGGGACGAAGCGCAAGUGACGGUACCUAUAGAAGAAGCACCGGCCAACUACGUG